rnacentral:rRNA from 1 species
UACGUAGGUGGCAAGCGUUGUCCGGAUUUACGGGGCGUAAAGGAUGCGUAGGCGGAUGUUUAAGUGAGAUGUGAAAUACCCGAGCUCAACUUGGGUGCUGCAUUUCAAACUGGAUAUCUAGAGUGCAGGAGAGGAAAGCGGAAUUCCUAGUGUAGCGGUGAAAUGCGUAGAGAUUAGGAAGAACACCAGUGGCGAAGGCGGCUUUCUGGACUGUAACUGACGCUGAGGCAUGAAAGCGUGGGGAGCAAACAGG